UACGGGGGGGGUAAGCGUUGUUCGGAAUUACUGGGCGUAAAGGGCUCGUAGGCGGCCAACUAAGUCAUACGUGAAAUCCCUCAGCUUAACUGGGGAACUGCGUGUGAUACUGGAUGGCUUGGAUUUGGGAGAGGGAUGCGGAAUCCCAGGUGUAGCGGUGAAAUGCGUAGAUAUCUGGAGGAACACCGGUGGCGAAGGCGGCAUCCUGGACCAAUAUUGACGCUGAGGAGCGAAAGCCAGGGGAGCAAACGGG
rnacentral:rRNA from 1 species